AUGGCAGCAGGACAGGCUUGUUGGAAACGGCUUUUUCUUGAAGGCCGUUGCCUGAAACAGCGGCUACCAUGCACAGCGUUGUCCCUGGCACUCUGCUUAGAUGCAAACAGGUCAUUUUGCUUAGUGGGUCGGCUCCCAGUAGGACAGCUGGAGGUGGAGGCAGAGGGUCCCCCAAACACACACUCCCCUGACCUGGCCAAGCCCUGGGCUACCCCUGGGGGGCUGGAGGGAGGUGCCAGCCAGGCUCGAGGCCUAGGGACAUGGGCGUGGUUGGCAGCUGUGUGCUUUCCAGGCCAUCGGCAAGUCACUGCAAGUUUAGUGAAGUUCCUUGUAAAGUGCUGUAGAGAUGGCAGGGUAAGGGAAUUAGGGGAAGCGAGGUUGGGAGAAAGAACAAGAUUGGCACCUGGAAAAGGAAAUGGCAACCCACUCCAGCGGUCUUGCCUGGAGAAUACCAGAGAUGGGGGAGCCUGGUGGGCGGCCGUCUGUGGGGUCGCACAGAGUCGGACACGACUGAAGUGGAGCAGCAGCAGCAGCAGCAGCAGCACUGACCCAAGGAAAGACCUGCUGCCCAAAUACAUACUCGUGGACAGAUGCGCUGGACACACCGAUGACGUGUGGACAGACCCACACGCGUGCACCUGGUGGGCAGGCAAGAAACGCGCGGCAGCCUUCCAGGCGGGCGCCAGCUGCGAGGAGCUCUGACCUGGAGCGGCUCCACGUCGCCAGGACGCUCGCUCCAUUGCCUGGCACUAGGUUUCUCCUGCUCUGCUCUUUCCAAGGCGGUUAAGGUUCACCAGUGCCGGGGGUGGGGCGGGGAUGCGGCGCGUGGAGGAGGCCGGGGCUGGGCUGGGUGAGUGGGAAGAGGCACGGAAAACCCAACGAUGAGGCCCUGGGACCGGCGCCCCCUGCUGGAACAGUGGCAGAGGCGGGGGUCGGGAAAGAGGCGGGUCUGGGGGUCGGGGAGAGGGAGCCCACGGCGAGCCCUGGGGCCGGGGCCGGAGCACCCUGCACACGCGGCGCCCACGGCGCCCAGCUCUGCUUGUUGCAGCUGAAAUACAUGUGCCCUUCACCGCCUCCAGUCUCUCGCCAGCACCCCCUGACCGAGUGGUGGCAGAAAUAGAAACCAAGGUGUGUCUGUUACUGGCGGAUGGUCACACAGACUACAUCACACCUUCCAGAUUCAAAGGAGACCCCAGGACCCUGGUAGACUCAGAAAGUUUCCAAGACGAACUGUUGAAGGAGGAAAGAAGACAAAGUGUGUUUAAGAUGAUUCCAGUUCCGUCUUCUUGGUAAAAGGUUUAAAAUGCCAUGUCUGCACUUCAUCCCUGCAGCUCAUACGCCAUCAACACACUCCAAGGGCAGAGGCUCUGGGGUGAGGGCCUGUCUGCCGACCUUCAGGGGAGGGCGGGGGGGCCGGCGGCCAGGCCUGCCCCCUGCUUGGUUCCCAGCGGGUCCCUGGCCAGUCCUGUGCCUUCUGGGAGCCUCUACCACCCACGGCAGCCAGGCGUACAGGGCACUGAGCCCCAGGGUCUGCAGGAGGUCCUGCUGAAGGUCAGCUUCAGGUGGCCCUUGGGUCGCUUCUUUUCUCCAGACUGCAGCGCAGUUUCCACAGUUUAGAUGAAACCCAAACCAAGGAGUGCAGACAAGGAGGCCCCUGUGUGUGUGGGGGGGCUGGCCUUGGUAAGGAUGCAAGCCGGGUUCUGUCUCUAGGCCCACUUUAUGAGCCAAUAAAGCUGGCUUCUUUGAGGGCCAACCCCUUGCAAAUGAUGAGAAAACUGCUCCCAUUUCCAUGACUGUCAAAAGCACAAUCCAGGGCCAAACUUGGAAACGCUUGCCUCUCGGGCCCUAUGGGGACACAUUUCCCUAUGGUCCUGGGGAGACUUACAGAGUCCGCAGGUGCUAAGAGCCAGCAAACAGGAGAUCUUACUUAAACGUGUGGGAGUGACGGCUGCAGGGCUGGGGAAGGAGGCUUUGUCACCUCUGUGGGCCUGAAGCCCAGAGCCCUCACUGCUCAGCGAGCAGCAGAGGUGAGGGCCACGGCCACGGCUGCUUCUGUGGUUUCCGGCAUCUUGUGUGCCAGCUGCCCCACACUUGAGGACGUGGGCUCCCCCAGCACCACUCAAAGCCCCUGUCUUCAGAGCUGUCCUUCCAGGCUUGGAGCCAAACUUUUUUGAUGGCACAGACUGUGAAGAGUGUGUGUGUGCCUGGGUGUGAGCACACACUGCUGUGUCUGCAUGCACACGUGUGAGCACACACGGCUGUAUCUGCAUGCACAUAUGUGAGCACACACGGCUGCGUGUCUGCAUGCACAUAUGUGAGCACACGGCUGUGUGUCUGCAUGCACAUGUGAGCACACACUGCUGUGUCUGCAUGCACACGUGAGCACACACGGCUGCGUGUCUGCACGCACAUGUGCACCUGUGUGUGUUGACAGGCUCUGCUCACUUCCCUUCCUCCUGCUCCCUCUCCCCCCUCUGCCCCCCUCUGCCCCUGGAGCCCAGGACCCUUGGCAAAGUCAGGCCCCCAGCUCAACCUCCUGCCCUCCUCUCUGGGAGUACCCCUGUUCAGAUGUUUCAAACCUGAGUUUGCCCCCGAUGCCCCAGGCAGGUGGGACUCGGGGCAAGGACAUCCAAGUCCCCAUCCCUCCACCUCCACCUCCCUCAGCCUGGAGCCAGCCAGGCCCUCUGUCUGCACAACAGGACAGCAUACUGCUCAGGUCAAGGGCCUGGUGUCCGUGGGUCUAUCAGCGUCACUACAUCCGUUAAUGAAGGAGGCGCUAAGUAAGGAGGGCUCCCUGGAGCAGAGCUCUGAGUAAGGCAGAGAAGCAGGGGAAGAUGCCUCAGCGGGAGGAGAACCGGGUCUCCCUGGUCCUGGCCUCCGAGGGACCCCCACCUGUGCAGAGACUCCAUCCUGGGACAAGAGCCCGGGGGGCCCCUCCCGCCUGGGCUGGGAAGUCCGGCUGGAGCGCUGCGCUGCUGAUUUUACUGUUGCGCUCAGUCCACACGCCUCGCGGAGGGGCUGUCCCCAGGGGUAUAUUAACCUGCGGGCCGGGAAGCAGCUGCUCUACCGUGUGGUAAAGGCUUCACCGUUUUAGAAAGACCCUGACUCAGACCUCUUCAGGCCAGAGGAACGGUGGUAGCAAAUGGGUCCAUCCAUGCCGGAUGCCGGUGGAGAGCCGGGUCUGGUUCCGCGUGGAAGAGCGGAUCUGACCGCGUGACAUGAAGAACCCCGGAGGAGAGAAACACUGGACCGCGGCACGCUCAGUGAACGCACCAAACUGAGCUUCCUUCUAAAGCCCCACUAAGUCCACUGCGUGCCCCACCUGCGCCGCACAAACUACCAGUCCGGGUGAUCCCUGCGCAGCCCGUUCACCGCACUGCGUCCGGGACAGGUGCCAGGGCCACGCUCCCCCAGGUGGUACCCGUCCUGCUAGCUCGGAAGCUCGGGCAUGGGGGAGAAAACGGCACCACGCGUGCCCACGCGUGUCCCCUUCUUCCCGCCCCCAGCUGCUGCUGGUCUCCCGGCGGUGCCCUCGAGCAAGUCUGGUCUUGCCUGCGUCAGCACUCGGGCCAUGACCUCCCAGUGGGCAGCGCCUGUGCCCCUCGCCCGCGGCACCCGCUGCUCUGAGAUGCUCUGAGCGCAGGCUGGACCACCCCCCGGCCCCCGAUCGGGGCCUCGGUGAAGCCGGCUCUGGACCUCAUCCCAGACGGAGGUCGGAGGCAGGGCGGGAGUAAACAAGGCUGCCUAGAGGGCCCGGCCCCGUACAGCCUUACCCAGGAAGACGGCAGGUCCGGGCAGUGCAGCGUCCCGGAGCUGGAGUACAGCACGUCAUCCUUGACCAGCACCGAGACGGCCCGCAGGAUGAAAGACAGGAACAGGUUCAGGUGGAUGUAGUUCCGGGUGCAGUGCAGCUUCCUGCAGAGGG
rnacentral:lncRNA from 1 species